CGGGAGAAUCGCGGCGCUCGCAGCGCCCGCACGCCGAGCCUGCAGCACCCCCUGCCCCGGGAGCAUCGCCCCCAGCCCCGAGCCGCAGGAUUUCCCAUUCCCAAACCUUGGCAAUAUGGAGGAGGAGAAGGCUUGGAGGAAGAGGAAGAUGCCCGGGGACACCCAGCCAGGGAAGGAGCUGAGGAUGGAGACCAGGGAGGAAAAAUCCCCACAGCAGAACCUCGUGGAAGAGGCCAUUUUGAGUGACUCCACAGUGCAGGAACCCAAUGGGGAGGAAAAGCCCUGGGCAAUCCCGCACAAGGAUGGGCUCCAAACCCAGCCCAGGGUGCUCUGAGGAGGAAAGACCCACCCUGAGCCAGGAAGGUGGACAGAGCUUCAGCCAGAGCUCAGAGCUGGU